GAUGAAGAACGCAGCGAAAUGCGAUAAGUAAUGUGAAUUGCAGAAUUCAGUGAAUCAUCGAAUCUUUGAACGCACAUUGCGCCCGCCAGUAUUCUGGCGGGCAUGCCUGUUCGAGCGUCAUUUCAACCCUCAAGCACAGCUUGGUGUUGGGACUCGCGUUAAUUCGCGUUCCCCAAAUUGAUUGGCGGUCACGUCGAGCUUCCAUAGCGUAGUAGUAAAACCCUCGUUACUGGUAAUCGUCGCGGCCACGCCGUUAAACCCCAACUUCUGAAUGUUGACCUCGGAUCAGGUAGGAAUACCCGCUGAACUUAAGCAUAUCAUAAGCGGAGGA
rnacentral:misc_RNA from 1 species